rnacentral:tRNA from 1 species
CGGUAGGGGCUUGCUUGACGCUAGGAAAGCAAGGACCCGUUAGGGGGCUCACUAUUCAUAUGGUGAGGGUGAGCCUGCCGA